rnacentral:rRNA from 1 species
UACGAAGGGGGCUAGCGUUGUUCGGAAUCACUGGGCGUAAAGGGCGCGUAGGCGGCUUUGUAAGUCGGGGGUGAAAGCCUGUGGCUCAACCACAGAAUUGCCUUCGAUACUGCAUGGCUUGAGACCGGAAGAGGUUAGUGGAACGUGCGAGUGUAGAGGUGAAAAUUCGUAGAUAUUCGCAAGAACACCAGUGGCGAAGGCGGCUGACUGGUCCGGAUCUGACGCUGAGGCGCGAAAGCGAUGGGGAGCAAA